rnacentral:lncRNA from 13 species
GCUCUGAGAAAGUUUUGCUCAGUUUUUUCUUCCCCCUCUCAGGCUCAGUUCAGAGGCAUAGAAAGGCCAAUAAUUAAUUUCUGGGCAUAGGCAGCGAUAUGGGAUACACAUCAUAAGGUCACCCCAAGACACUAUGUCAUGUCAGCUUUCUCUGUGUCUGAAUAUUUUAGACUGGUUUGCUAAGGAAAUGGCCCUUGUAGGAUUUUACUUCAUCUGUACACAUCUCUCUGCCUACAUUUUAGUUAUUUCUUUUCUCCCUUUCUCGUCUUCCCUCUCCUCUAUAAUUUUUCAGCCUAUUCUCCAAAUCCAAUCACACAGGAAUAGAGAAUCCAAAGAUGUUUUGAAUACAGGUGGUCAGAGCAUCCCAUUCCUUUUAUCAAGCCACCUAGGUAGAUUCUUGAAUCCACCUCCUGGAAAGGACGCAUAAACCUGCUGCCUGAGCUGUCUUAAGAGCUUGAUCAAGCAGUGAG